CUUGGGAGCACAGAGGUUCGGAGCCGGGCACGCCGUGACCUCCCGCUGUGGCUCGCCACCCCGGUGCUUGCCAGCGCACCGGCCCGCGGGGACCGGGCUCCCCCUCGGGGGCCGAUCGCCGGCGAAAGCGGAGGGAGACGGCCGUAACCCCCGGGGGCCGCUUCCAUCCCUGUGGCCGACCCGUGGGAAAAGGCUGCGGCAGUUCAGCGGCUCUCCAGCCGUUCCGGAGCGACAUCCCUUGCCCGCUUUGGGGGGCCGUGCCCGUGUCUGUGCUCACCGCCGGGAGCCUCCACGACGGCCGGCUGCAGCUCCGCGUCGCUGGCGGGGAGGCGGGGGCAAAGUUGAAUGUUCUGUGCUCGGAACGCCGUCGGCACCUUGCAGAGACAGCUCAUCCUAAUGGGCUCCCUCGUUAUCCCGAAAAGCACGUCCUAGGCACAGGCCAAUCUGCUUCCCGCUGGCAGCGGCAAAUUUGGCUGUCGAGGAGGAGAAAAGAAGGCGAGCGCGACGUUAAUGAUGCUGCCAGCCAGGAGUUAGUAGGUCAAGAAGCUUUUGUUCGGGCGACGCGCUCAGCGCCGUACGCGGUGCGAGGAGAGGAGCCGUCCCAGUCCCCCGCGCGCCGCAAUUGGAGCGGGACCGGACAGUUCGGCCCCGUCGCGAGCGGCUUUGGCGGUGCCUGGGGUCCGGCUCGCCAGCUCGCGGGGUUCGACGGGACGAGGCCGGCUUGCCAAGGGCUGCCGGGCACCGAAAGGAGGGCGGGAGAGGCUCCGGAUGUCGGGAAUGGAUGAUUUCCCAUGGGACGGUGCUCAGGCUCCAGCCCUGGAGCUGUGUCCCGAGGGCUCGCGUGGGGAAUUUGGGCCACGGUGGCUUAAAGGCAGCAGGCGAACUGUGCAGGAGGGUCCCGCCGUUCGCCGGAUUUCACUGCCGGAGAGGCGAGGCGAAGCCGGAGCCUUUGGGAGAAGAGGCCGCGCUGCCGCUCCGGAUGGCCCUUCCUGUCCCUGGCACCCGAAGGCCUUGCAAACACAGCUGUGUUUGGGAAGCAGAAACCUUCCAUCUCGAUGUUGUCUUGGUUUUGAUCCGAAUGGGGGAAGGGCUUGGGCUGGGCUGUUUUGUCUUUUGUUUUCAAAGUUUCU
rnacentral:lncRNA from 1 species